UACGUAGGUGGCAAGCGUUGUCCGGAUUUACUGGGCGUAAAGAGCGCGCAGGCGGUCGAAUAAGUCGAAUGUGAAAGCCCCCGGCUCAACUGGGGAGGGUCAUUCGAUACUGCUCGACUUGAAGGCAGGAGAGGGUAGUGGAAUUCCGCGUGUAGCAGUGAAAUGCGUAGAUAUGCGGAGGAACACCGAUGGCGAAGGCAAUCCCCUGGACCUGUACUGACGCUCAUGCACGAAAGCGUGGGGAGCAAACAGG
rnacentral:rRNA from 1 species